rnacentral:misc_RNA from 1 species
GAUGAAGAACGUAGUGAAAUGCGAUAAGUAAUGUGAAUUGCAGAAUUCAGUGAAUCAUCGAAUCUUUGAACGCACAUUGCGCCCGCCAGUAUUCUGGCGGGCAUGCCUGUUCGAGCGUCAUUACAACCCUCAGGCCCCCGGGCCUGGCGUUGGGGAUCGGCGGAGCCCCCCGUGGGCACACGCCGUCCCCCAAAUGCAGUGGCGGUCCCGCCGCAGCUUCCAUCGCGUAGUAGCUAACACCUCGCGACUGGAGAGCGGCGCGGCCACGCCGUAAAACACCCAACUCUUCUGAAGUUGACCUCGAAUCAGGUAGGAAUACCCGCUGAACUUAAGCAUAUCGAUAAGCGGAGGA